CAUAAUCUCCAACUUCACUGAGGUGGCUGACCACGUCCAGGACCGAAGCUGCUUCUAAACUGGAACUCAUUUGCUGAGCCAGCCCCAGCCUCAGCUUUCUUGUCAGCUACAGGGGGCACAACACUCCUUCUGUAGGUGUCUCUGUCUGCCUCCCCUCUUGUGAAUCUUAAAGCCCAGUCACCCUCUGGACCUUUGGCCGAAGCCUGCCAGGGUUCAGCCCAGACUGCAGGGUCACAGUCAUGAUCUCCGUAGUCUCUGGAAGUAAGUGCAGGUAAUCUCAGGGAUACUGGAUGCCUUCAUUCGUAAGGUACCAAGAGAAAUGUCUCCAAGCAAACUUCCUUCAUGUUGCCUCGACACUUGAGAGACUACAUGGCCUUCACAUGACAUGAAGGUAUCAACAUCAUGGUGGCUGCAGGGUCCAAGGAGAAGGCUGGAAAGGAAGGGGCAUUCGCUGAAAACAUGUACUUUUCUAGUAGUAUGAAUGUCACGACAAGGCAUUUAUGACUCAAAACUGAAA
rnacentral:lncRNA from 1 species